AUUGAACGCUGGCGGCAGGCCUAACACAUGCAAGUCGAACGGUAGCACAGAGAGCUUGCUCUCGGGUGACGAGUGGCGGACGGGUGAGUAAUGUCUGGGAAACUGCCCGAUGGAGGGGGAUAACUACUGGAAACGGUAGCUAAUACCGCAUAACGUCGCAAGACCAAAGUGGGGGACCUUCGGGCCUCACACCAUCGGAUGUGCCCAGAUGGGAUUAGCUAGUAGGUGGGGUAAUGGCUCACCUAGGCGACGAUCCCUAGCUGGUCUGAGAGGAUGACCAGCCACACUGGAACUGAGACACGGUCCAGACUCCGACGGGAGGCAGCAGUGGGGAAUAUUGCACAAUGGGCGCAAGCCUGAUGCAGCCAUGCCGCGUGUAUGAAGAAGGCCUUCGGGUUGUAAAGUACUUUCAGCGGGGAGGAAGGCGGUGGAGUUAAUAACUUCACCGAUUGACGUUACCCGCAGAAGAAGCACCGGCUAACUCCGUGCCAGCCGCUGCCGUAA
rnacentral:rRNA from 1 species